rnacentral:rRNA from 1 species
AUUAGCUAGUUGGUGGGGUAAUGGCUCACCAAGGCGACGAUCCGUAACUGGUCUGAGAGGAUGAUCAGUCACACUGGAACUGAGACACGGUCCAGACUCCUACGGGAGGCAGCAGUGGGGAAUAUUGGACAAUGGGCGCAAGCCUGAUCCAGCCAUGCCGCGUGUGUGAAGAAGGUCUUCGGAUUGUAAAGCACUUUAAGUUGGGAGGAAGGGCAGUAAGUUAAUACCUUGCUGUUUUGACGUUACCGACAGAAUAAGCACCGGCUAACUCUGUGCCAGCAGCCGCGGUAAUACAGAGGGUGCAAGCGUUAAUCGGAAUUACUGGGCGUAAAGCGCGCGUAGGCGGUUUGUUAAGUCAGAUGUGAAAUCCCCGGGCUCAACCUGGGAACUGCAUCCAAAACUGGCAAGCUUGAGUACGGUAGAGGGGGGUGGAAUUUCAGGUGUAGCGGUGAAAUGCGUAGAUAUAGGAAGGAACACCAGUGGCGAAGGCGACCCCCUGGACGUGAUACUG